rnacentral:lncRNA from 1 species
UCAAAGGCAAACUGGAGCUAAAGUCAUGGGGAAGCAUAGCACCACUUCCUCUUGUUUUCAAGUUCAUCCUGUUUUUAGGCUCUUUUUGGUGGAAACAAGAGUGCCACAAGCAAUCAAGUCUCAUUAGCUGAACCCUCAGCAAAGAACCAGUGACUGACUCCAUAUGCGGGAGACUUCAACCCAGCUGACAGAUGCUAUUUCUCUCUGUCCCUGCUGACCCAGGCUGGGGAGACAGCAUAUUUCAGACAGGAUGCCCUCCCAAGAGUUGUGAUGCAACCCUGGAAAAAAUAUCUGUUCAAGAUCCCAAGCCAGGAUCUGGUUUCUGCCAAUUCAGAGUGACAGGGAUCAGCGGCUAAGACACUGGCCAUUACAGGAGAAAAUAACUCUGUCUUGAUGACUCAGUGGCAUCAUUAGGAAUCACUAAGAUUGUCCUGUGCUACGAUCCAGCGAGAACUCCAGGAGCCGUAGAGAUCUUUGUGACUGCCUGCCCCACGCAGAAGAGCCUCAGAGACUCCUGAGCUGGUUUUAAGAGCAUUUUUGUCUUCUUCCUUGCUGUCAGACUCUAAAAUAAUUCUUUGAAUAAUUUACAGGCCUCCAUUACCUCCUCUGUCAGGUCAAUUCUAAUUUAAUAUAUUUGCUGUUUCUAUUGGCUGGGUGGGGAGUGGAAAUGACAACCAAUUUUUUGAGAAAAUGGACUUUUAAAAAAGCAAAUGGUAUGGAAUAUUAUUCAGCCUUAAAAAGGAAUGAAAUUCUGAUGCAUGCCAUGACAUGGGUGAACUCUGAAAAUAUGUUAGAUAAAACAA